CUCUCUGUUGUGCUGCAGCUAGCAGAGAAUGCCAUGAAUGCUCCGGCUAGCUAGCAUGGCCAGCGAUGACAAUUAACGGUUUUCCUGUAAUGUGGGUUGCUGGCAGACUGACCGAGUGCUCCGACCGCCAGACUUAACAGGUUUUGAGGGGGAAACCCAGGCUGUGAAGAUGGAGGGAUGGUGGAUUUUUCAGCCAGUAAAGUACCCAGGAAUACACACCAGAAAAUUCAACUGGCUGAGAAAGAAAGUAAAGCUGUCAGGAAGACCAAUCUAUCACUCAAGUUGAAUCCAAUCGAGUAAAGAGCAAGGCCUUCAGAACAAAGGGAUUCAAAGACAGUGUGGAAGAAUAAGUCAAAGCAUACAUGCUGAAGCUGUCAUCAGGAAAAUAUAUAUUUUUAUCUGCAUAAUAAAUACAUUUCAGUAAGCAUGUUCACUAAUAAUUCCCUGUUGCUAUUGUCAUGCAUAAUUUAGAUCCUGUUUAUGUGUAGAUGACCUGUCUGGCUCACUGAGAUAACUAAUAACAGACGAAUAUCACCAGAUCUAAAUUAUAAUAAUCAUAACUUCUGAGUCUAGAAGGUCUUUGCUGUUAUGUUCAACUUGAACUGAAUAGAACAAUUCCUCAGUCAAAACUUGACGUCUCCUGCUGGUCUCUCUCAGUGAAUCAUCUUUAUGAAUUUCAUUUACUCACUUGUCACUACUGCCUUUUACAAAUGAGAAUCUAACUGUCCUACUAGAGUUUAGCUGGCCUCGCUAGACGAAGAAGCAGGAGCGGAGCAGUUUUCUGCUUGACUGAGGAGGGGGGGGGGAAUAGCAGAAGGAAAUUCUUUUGAACAUUGCUGUGAAAAUGGCCAAUUGUUGUGAAAAGGCUGGCCUUGACUAGCCAGCCCUAAUUACAUAAGCGUUGGUCUUUCUCCAGGGUUUUCCCUAAACCUUAUAAAUCAUGUGAAUGUCUGUUUUAUUCCACAGCGCUGCAGUCAUUGGUCAUUUCUCCUGCAGGUCUUCAGUGCCCAGUUUUUCGAUAUUACUUUUCCUUCCACCUAAUAAUUCAUAAGUCCCAUCAAUCCUGCAGGCCGAUAAUCUUGCUCUCUUGAUCGCUUCCAAACACACAGCCACUGAAUCAUAAUCAUUGACUCAGCUGACCUGAGUUGCUUGCAAACUUGCAGUUACUGCUGAUAAGUGUGACUCA